CUGUAUUGUAUGCCCUUAAGCUAUGAGGGCGGAUUUAUUGAAUCACACAUUUAUCCACUACAUUGAACAUAGUUUUAUAAUUAAUGCAUCCUAAAACUACAAUUUAAACAGACAUUUUCUGGACUCCCUAAAUGAAAUUGAAUUGGUAUUAUUGGCCAUAUUUUAUAUCUUACACUGAUUCUUCCUACAAAAAUCUAUUUUAAAUAAAAUCCACCUCACAGUUUAAAAAUUAAAUAGUAGUUUUCUAUAAUGUUUCUAAUGAAAGAUAUUGCUUUCAUUUCCCUUGAUUUCCAUUGCUGAGGAGUUUUAUAACCGAAAGAUUUGUUGAACCAGAUCUUGCUUAUGUUUAUGUGAUAGUAAGUUUUAUUAUAUUUUAUAGAUACACUGAGUAGUCUUAUUUUUUACAUCGUUGAUAUGGUUACAUGACAUUUAUGGGAUCAAACAAAUAAAU
rnacentral:lncRNA from 1 species